UACGGAGGGAGCUAGCGUUAUUCGGAAUUACUGGGCGUAAAGCGCACGUAGGCGGAUAUUUAAGUCAGGGGUGAAAUCCCAGAGCUCAACUCUGGAACUGCCUUUGAUACUGGGUAUCUCGAGUAUGGAAGAGGUGAGUGGAAUUCCGAGUGUAGAGGUGAAAUUCGUAGAUAUUCGGAGGAACACCAGUGGCGAAGGCGGCUCACUGGUCCAUUACUGACGCUGAGGUGCGAAAGCGUGGGGAGCAAACAGG
rnacentral:rRNA from 1 species